UACGUAGGGUGCAAGCGUUAAUCGGAAUUACUGGGCGUAAAGCGUGCGCAGGCGGCUAUGCAAGACAGAUGUGAAAUCCCCGGGCUCAACCUGGGAACUGCAUCCGAAACUGCCUUGCUCGAGUAUGGGAGAGGGAAGUGGAAUUUCCGGUGUAGCGGUGAAAUGCGUAGAUAUCGGAAGGAACAUCAGUGGCGAAAGCGACUUCCUGGACCAAUACUGACGCUCAUGUGCGAAAGCGUGGGGGAGCAAACAGG
rnacentral:rRNA from 1 species